AAUCAACGCUGGCGGCGCGCUUAACACAUGCAAGUCGCACGAGAAAGUGGAGCAAUCCAUGAGUACAGUGGCGCACGGGCGAGUAACACGUGGGUAACCUGCCCUUGAAUGGGGAAUAACCCGGGGAAACCUGGGCUAAUACCGCAUACGCUCCUUUUGGCUCACGCCAGGGGGAGGAAAGGCGCAAGCCGUUCGAGGAGGGGCCCGCGGCCGAUUAGCUAGUUGGUAGGGUAAUGGCCACCAAGGCUUUGAUCGGUAGCCGGCCUGAGAGGGCACACGGCCACACUGGCACUGAAACACGGGCCAGACUCCUACGGGAGGCAGCAGUGGGGAAUCUUGCACAAUGGGGGAAACCCUGAUGCAGCGACGCCGCGUGAGCGAUGAAGCCCUUCGGGGUGUAAAGCUCGUUUUGGCGGGGAAAAGUUAUGAUGGUACCCGCUGAAUAAGCUGCGGCUAACUACGUGCCAGCAGCCGCAGUAAC
rnacentral:rRNA from 1 species